rnacentral:rRNA from 1 species
GUUGACCUCGGAUCAGGUAGGGAUACCCGCUGAACUUAAGCAUAUCAAUAAGCGGAGGAAAAGAAACCAACAGGGAUUGCCCUAGUAACGGCGAGUGAAGCGGCAACAGCUCAAAUUUGAAAUCUGGCGCAAGCCCGAGUUGUAAUUUGUAGAGGAUGCUUCUGGGCAGCGGCCGGUCUAAGUUCCUUGGAACAGGACGUCAUAGAGGGUGAGAAUCCCGUAUGCGACCGGCUUGCACCCGUCACGUAGCUCCUUCGACGAGUCGAGUUGUUUGGGAAUGCAGCUCUAAAUGGGAGGUAAAUUUCUUCUAAAGCUAAAUACCGGCCAGAGACCGAUAGCGCACAAGUAGAGUGAUCGAAAGAUGAAAAGCACUUUGGAAAGAGAGUUAAAAAGCACGUGAAAUUGUUGAAAGGGAAGCGCAUGCAACCAGACUUGUCGGCGGUGUUCCGCCGGUCUUCUGACCGGUCUACUCGCCGCCGGCAGGCCAGCAUCACUUGGGAGCGCCGGAUAAAGGCGUGGAGAAUGUAGCCCCUCGGGGUGUUAUAGCUCCGCGUACAAUACGGCGCCUCCCGAGUGAGGUCCGCGCUUCGGCUAGGAUGCUGGCGUAAUGGUUGCCUGCGGCCCGUCUUGAAACACGGACCAAGGAGUCUAACAUCUAUGCGAGUGUUUGGGUGUCAAACCCCUACGCGUAAUGAAAGUGAACGGAGGUGGGAACCGCAAGGUGCACCAUCGACCGAUCCUGAUGUCUUCGGAUGGAUUUGAGUAAGAGCAUAGCUGUUGGGACCCGAAAGAUGGUGAACUAUGCCUGAAUAGGGUGAAGCCAGAGGAAACUCUGGUGGAGGCUCGCAGCGGUUCUGACGUGCAAAUCGAUCGUCAAAUUUGGGUAUAGGGGCGAAAGACUAAUCGAACCAUCUA